CCGCCAGGGGUACAGCUGGGUAGCUACGUCGGGAACGGAUAAACGCUGAAAGCAUCUAAGCGUGAAACCGGCCUUAAGAUGAGGUCUCUCACAGAGUUAAUCUGGUAAGGCCCCUUGUAGAUCACAAGGUAGAUAGGCCAGGUGUGUAAGGCCAGCAAUGGUCUCAGCUGACUGGUACUAAUCGGCCGAGGGCUUGACUUA
rnacentral:rRNA from 1 species